GAUGAACGCUGGCGGCGUGCCUAAUACAUGCAAGUCGAGCGAACGGACGAGAAGCUUGCUUCUCUGAUGUUAGCGGCGGACGGGUGAGUAACACGUGGAUAACCUACCUAUAAGACUGGGAUAACUUCGGGAAACCGGAGCUAAUACCGGAUAAUAUUUUGAACCGCAUGGUUCAAAAGUGAAAGACGGUCUUGCUGUCACUUAUAGAUGGAUCCGCGCUGCAUUAGCUAGUUGGUAAGGUAACGGCUUACCAAGGCAACGAUGCAUAGCCGACCUGAGAGGGUGAUCGGCCACACUGGAACUGAGACACGGUCCAGACUCCUACGGGAGGCAGCAGUAGGGAAUCUUCCGCAAUGGGCGAAAGCCUGACGGAGCAACGCCGCGUGAGUGAUGAAGGUCUUCGGAUCGUAAAACUCUGUUAUUAGGGAAGAACAUAUGUGUAAGUAACUGUGCACACCUUGACGGUACCUAAUCAGAAAGCCACGGCUAACUACGUGCCAGCAGCCGCGGUAAUACGUAGGUAGCAAGCGUUAUCCGGAAUUAUUGGGCGUAAAGCGCGCGUAGGCGGUUUUUUAAGUCUGAUGUGAAAGCCCACGGCUCAACCGUGGAGGGUCAUUGGAAACUGGAAAACUUGAGUGCAGAAGAGGAAAGUGGAAUUCCAUGUGUAGCGGUGAAAUGCGCAGAGAUAUGGAGGAACACCAGUGGCGAAGGCGACUUUCUGGUCUGUAACUGACGCUGAUGUGCGAAAGCGUGGGGAUCAAACAGGAUUAGAUACCCUGGUAGUCCACGCCGUAAACGAUGAGUGCUAAGUGUUAGGGGGUUUCCGCCCCUUAGUGCUGCAGCUAACGCAUUAAGCACUCCGCCUGGGGAGUACGACCGCAAGGUUGAAACUCAAAGGAAUUGACGGGGACCCGCACAAGCGGUGGAGCGUGUGGUUUAAUUCGAAGCAACGCGAAGAACCUUACCAAAUCCUGACAUCCUUUGACAACUCUAGAGAUAGAGCCUUCCCCUUCGGGGGACAAAGUGACAGGUGGUGCAUGGUUGUCGUCAGCUCGUGUCGUGAGAUGUUGGGUUAAGUCCCGCAACGAGCGCAACCCUUAAGCUUAGUUGCCAUCAUUAAGUUGGGCACUCUAAGUUGACUGCCGGUGACAAACCGGAGGAAGGUGGGGAUGACGUCAAAUCAUCAUGCCCCUUAUGAUUUGGGCUACACACGUGCUACAAUGGACAAUACAAAGGGCAGCGAAACCGCGAGGUCAAGCAAAUCCCAUAAAGUUGUUCUCAGUUCGGAUUGUAGUCUGCAACUCGACUACAUGAAGCUGGAAUCGCUAGUAAUCGUAGAUCAGCAUGCUACGGUGAAUACGUUCCCGGGUCU
rnacentral:rRNA from 1 species